rnacentral:rRNA from 1 species
AUUGAACGCUGGCGGCAGGCCUAACACAUGCAAGUCGGACGGUAGCACAGAGGAGCUUGCUCCUCGGGUGACGAGUGGCGGACGGGUGAGUAAUGUCUGGGGAUCUGCCCGAUAGAGGGGGAUAACCACUGGAAACGGUGGCUAAUACCGAAUAACGUCGCAAGACCAAAGAGGGGGACCUUCGGGCCUCUCACUAUCGGAUGAACCCAGAUGGGAUUAGCUAGUAGGCGGGGUAACGGCCCACCUAGGCGACGAUCCCUAGCUGGUCUGCGAGGAUGACCAGCCACACGGGAACCGAGGCACGUUCCAGACUCCUACGGGGGGCAGCAGUGGGGAAUAUUGCACAGUGGGCGCAAGCCUGAUGCAGCCAUGCCGCGUGUAUGAAGAAGGCCUUCGGGUUGUAAAGUACUUUCAGCGGGGAGGAAGGCGAUGUGGUUAAUAACCGCAUUGAUUGACGUUACCCGCAGAAGAAGCACCGGCUAACUCCGUGCCAGCAGCCGCCGCAG